UUACGACCAUAUCGCGCUGAAACACUGGUUCUCGUACGAUUGCCGAAGUUAAGCGAUGUCGAGCCUGGUCAAUAUCUAGAUGGGUAACCGAUUGGGAAUAUCAAGU